rnacentral:rRNA from 1 species
ACUCAAAUGAAUAGACGGGGGCCCGCACAAGCGGUGGAGCAUGUGGUUUAAUUCGACGCAACGCGAAGAACCUUACCUGGGCUCGAACGGCUUCGGAACAUCUUUGGAAACAGGGACUUCCCGCAAGGGACCGGAGUCGAGGUGCUGCAUGGCUGUCGUCAGCUCGUGUCGUGAGAUGUUGGGUUAAGUCCCGCAACGAGCGCAACCCUUGUCCUGUGUUGCCACUCCGCAAGGAAGCACUCUCAGGAGACCGCCAGCGAUAAGCUGGAGGAAGGUGGGGAUGACGUCAAGUCCUCAUGGCCUUUAUGUCCAGGGCUACACACGUGCUACAAUGGACGGUACAAAGCGCUGCAAACCCGCGAGGGGGAGCCAAUCGCAAAAAACCGUUCUUAGUUCGGAUUGCAGGCUGCAACUCGCCUGCAUGAAGCUGGAAUCGCUAGUAAUGGCGUAUCAGAAUGAUGCCGUGAAUACGUUCCCGGGCCUUGUACACACCGCCCGU